UACGUAGGGUGCGAGCGUUAAUCGGAAUUACUGGGCGUAAAGCGUGCGCAGGCGGUUUUGUAAGCCAGAUGUGAAAUCCCCGGGCUUAACCUGGGAAUGGCGUUUGGGACUGGAAGUCUGGAGUGCGGCAGAGGAGACUGGAAUUCCUGGUGUAGCAGUGAAAUGCGUAGAUAUCAGGAGGAACACCGAUGGCGAAGGCAGGUCUCUGGGCUGACACUGACGCUCAUGCACGAAAGCGUGGGGAGCAAACAGG
rnacentral:rRNA from 1 species